CAAAUGAACUGAGGGGUGAUAACAUGAUCAUGAAAACGGUUUUUCUAGGGUGUGGCUUAUCCCUUGCACUUAGAGUAUGUUGAACCCUCUGAUUUCCCCAAAUACAGACACUUGACUGCAUAAUUUGUAGUUGUGGUGGACUGUAUUCAUGCUCUCCCAUG
ensembl:snRNA U1 U1 spliceosomal RNA